UGCGGAGGGAGCUAGCGUUAUUCGGAAUUACUGGGCGUAAAGCGCACGUAGGCGGCUUUGUAAGUAAGAGGUGAAAGCCUGGAGCUCAACUCCAGAAUAGCCUUUUAGACUGCAUCGCUUGAAUCAUGGAGAGGUGAGUGGAAUUCCGAGUGUAGAGGUGAAAUUCGUAGAUAUUCGGAAGAACACCAAUGGCGAAAGCAGCUUUCUGGGACGGUACUGACGCUGAGACGCGAAAGCGUGGGGAGCGAACAGG
rnacentral:rRNA from 1 species